rnacentral:rRNA from 1 species
UACGUAGGGUGCAAGCGUUAAUCGGAAUUACUGGGCGUAAAGCGUGCGUAGGCGGUGAUGUAAGACAGAUGUGAAAUCCCCGGGCUCAACCUGGGAAUUGCAUUUGAGACUGCACGGCUAGAGUGUGUCAGAGGGGGGUAGAAUUCCACGUGUAGCAGUGAAAUGCGUAGAGAUGUGGAGGAAUUCCGAUGGCGAAGGCAGCCCCCUGGGAUAACACUGACGCUCAUGCACGAAAGCGUGGGGAGCAAACAGG